rnacentral:lncRNA from 1 species
AUUAAUCUACACCUAUUUUAGUUUUAGUCUUCUCUUAAACUAAACUUAAUGAAACACUAAUCUAUAUAAUUGACACUAAGGGCUAAUCUUAAUAACGACAGCAUCGUGGCCGCUCCUCCCCUUUUUCUUUUCUUAUUUUUCCUUCUUUUUUGCUUCUCCUCUUUUAUCCUCUCCUCUCCUUUCUUCUCUUGCUCCUUCCAACGUCGACGGCGGCGUUGUCGCCGCUCCUUUCUCCCCCCUGUUUCUUUUUUUUUUCUGUUCUUCUUCUUCUCCUCUUCUUUUCUUUCCCUCUUUCCCUAUUUCAGUUCUGAUGGCGGCAGGAUCGGCAACGCCGUCACUCCUCCUUCUUCUCCUUUUUUCUCUCUUUUCUUCUCUUCUUCUUCCCCUUUUUCCCCUCUUUCCAUGUUUCCCUCUCUCUCCUCCUCUGUUUCUCUGCUCAUCUUUUUAUUUUUUUAAUUUCGAAUAGGUCAAGGCUUGCAUGCGUCGGAGGAUGUCUCUGACGAGUCCUCCAGGGACAUGCUAGCAUCGAUGUAAAAAUCUAACGUUUUAAUAUUUUAUUUAAAUAGCUUUUUUGACUUUUGGUUGUAUAAUUUUGUUUGCUUUUUUGGGGUUUGGAAUCAGUGGAGAGGAAGAAGAAGACCUCGCCGACGACGACGCAACCGGCGUUAGCGGCACAGAGACAAAGAGAAAGUGUGUUACGUAAAAAAAAUUAUGUUUUGCUUCUUUUUAUUAAUCCAUUAAUCUCUGUUUAGUUGCUAACGAAACUAAAUAACGAUUUGUUUGGUUUUUUCAGGUCAACGAAAAUGGGUAGAACCGACUUGCUCUACAAAAUUGGGGGGAAAGGAAAAGACUGCCUCUAGAAGGUAAAACAACUAGUCUCUAACUUGUUUUAAUUUUUCUAGAUAAAACUGAUGGUUCUGUUAUUGAUGAGUUUGCCUAAGAUGAAAACUUAAUUUAUUUUAUUACUGAAACUGGAGUAGUAAUCUAGAUGUUUAUAAAAUAAUUUUUCUGUUUGAAAAACUUGACCAUUUUAUUAGUUUUAACAAAAUUUGGCCAAAAAUCAUAUUUUAGCUCGAUUAUGUUACGAGUUUCAUAAUUCUUUAAGUUCUUGAUGCGAAAAUGAUGAAAGAUGGCCAUAAGUUCCUUUGUUAAUAUAUUUUCCAACAACCUUUAUUUGAUUUUAGAGGUUUAUUUCACUUAUUGGUUCGUUGUUUAUUAAAAUGAUUAUUGGAUUCAAUAGUAGUUUAGACGGUGACUAAGCGAUAUAGCAUAUCAAUGUGUAUGUAUAAAUGAUAUGUGAAUGAUUUCGAAUGGAGAUGUUUUGAAUGAUAUACCUUUAAUAUGAAGCUUCUUUUUUGUCGUGUUUCAGGUGGCGGCGCACUUCGUGGGUGACUACAAAAUUCUCCUUUGGCGGUUUCUACGUCAGUGACGACAUAAGAAACUUGUAAAAUUUUAUUUUUUUUUAGUGUUUUGUAAUUUUUAUUUCUUGAGACUUUAUGGGUUUGUGAACUAAUUUGUAUACUGUUUAGGAGGGUUUUGGGAAGAAUUGGGGAGUUUCUCUAGAAAAUGUCAUUUUUAUCUUCUUUUGUCGUUUUUUUAAUGUAGUGGUCCUGACUGUCUUUUUAAAGGAAAUAAUGGUUGUCACCUCCCCUGAAAGCUAACCAAAAUCUUAUACUGCAUUCUAACACAAAAAAAGAGGUGGCAACUCUCUUAUUAAUAACAUAAAUGGGCCCGAAAUUGGGUAUGAAAUCGGGUCGAACAAUCCA